AUUAUAUCCACCAUUACCAAAACCCGAAUACUUAAAAAUUUUGUUUAACACAGUUUUAGCUGUGGAUUUUUUAGACUUCAUCUUGAUGUGAAUUCUUCAAUUGCAAAUUGGCAUGGCAACAAACGUUUGAUUUUUCUGCCAUUACAGCAGAAAUUGUUUUAGACAGACCGGCGCCGACAAACAUUAACGGCUUCAGGUGCACGAAAUUAACAAUUGUCUUUCCUUACGCCGGCAAAAUGUAUACUUAAUAUUACAAAAAAAAUAAUGAGCAAAUAAAUAAAACUCAAUUAAUUAAAUAAACUAAGAAAAUUAGUAAAAUUAGGAAAAAUUCAACGAGUGGCUAUUUAUGGGAGAAAAAUUGGUUAUAUUAAAAUUUGAUUUUUAUGCAAUUGCAGCAGAAAUUGUUUUAAACAGACUAAAUUAACAAGUGCCUUUCCUUGAAGAAUACGCCGUCAAAAUUUCAACGAGUUGCUUAUUAGAGAAAAAUCAGUUAAAUUAAAAUUGUUUUAAACAGACCGGCAGUAAAACAUUAACGGCUUCAGCUGCACUAAAUUAACAAGUGUCUUUCCUUGAAGAAUACGCCGUCAAAAUUUCAACGAGUUGCUUAUAUAGAGAAAAAUCAGUUAAAUUAAAAUAAACAAAUUUUAAUUUGUAAAACUCAAUGAAAUAAAACUAAGAAAAUUAGUAAAAUUCCGCAAAAAAUCAACUAGUGGCUAUUAAUGGAAGAAAAAUCGGUUAAAUUAAAAUAAACAAAUUUUAUGUUGUAAAACUCUAUAAAUUAAAUAAAACUGUAAGAAAAAUUAGAAAAAAAAAUUCCGUAAUUCAGCUCUGGGUGGAUAUGGACCAUCGUGUGACGUUGUCAUUAUCACUUCAGCGGAUCAGGUCAAAACGACCUUAUUUUUCUAACAAUUUCUACUUACCCAUUAUCCAUUUUCCUUAUUUAAACGUACUUUUACUGCGAUUCGAGUGAGGCAAAGCGUAUUAAUAAUUUGCAUUGAGAUCAUCUUUCUCUCCGAAACCGCCUACAAUUAUUACAAGCAUACUUUGUUUUCAGCAUUAAAAUAAUUUUGAUAUUGUUUGGGGACUGUUGUAGAUCCGGAUUACCUUUAACAAUUGUUUAAUUGAGAAAAAUUGUUUAAUUGGGACAACUAUGAGAAUUUGCAGUGGUAUCAGAUUCACCAUUGACAAAACUCAAGGUAUCUUUGGCAGCUGCUACAUUUAAUCGUAGUGUUACUUACAAAUUGUAAUGGCAUCAAACGCAGAAAUUUUUUUAGACAGUCCGGUGCCGACAAACAUUAACUGCUUCAUAUGCACGAAAUUAGCAAUUGCCUCUCCUUAAAGAAUACGCCGUCAAAAUUUCAACGAGUUGCUAAUUAUGGAUGAAAAAACAGUUAAAUUAAAAUUAACAAAUGUGACUUUAAAUUAUUACAAUAAAUGAAAAUGAAAUGAAAUGAAAUUUUAUGUUGUAAACCUCAAUUAAUGAAAUAAAAUUAAGAAAAUUAGUAAAAUUUUGCAAAAAUUCAACGAAUGGAUAUUUAUGGAAGAAAAAUCGGUUAAAUUAAUAUUAACAAAUUUUAUGCCGUAAAACUUAAUGAAUUAAAUAAGACCGCAAGAAAAAAAUAGAAAAGCUAUUUCGUAGUUCAGCUCUGGUGGAUAUGGACCAUCGUGUGGCGUUGUCACUAUCACUUCAGCGGAUCUGUGGCUUCGAGAAUUUUGAGUAUCAAAUUCACAACCUAUAAAUCCGUAGUCGUAUAACUGCACUGUAUCACGUUUUUCGAUGUUUACUCAUUGACUAUCUGUAUUCGUUUUAACUCUACCUAAAAUUUUUGGAGUACUGUGAUGGACCAAAUAAAACUAUAUUUUGUAUUUUGCCCAGUUGUUCUGGAAAAUUUACGUUAGCGUAGUGAAUCUAGGAUUUGGGCCAACUGAAAUGAUUGCGUUCUUAUUCCUUUUUGUGCCAAAAUAAAAAUUUUAGUGUCAGAAGCAUAGAUGCCAGAUGGUUUCUUACAUAAUAAAUUUUAAAUUCGUUGAAGAUCAUACAAAAACGAGCCUGUUAAGAAAAUAGUGAUAAUAUCUAUCAAUCUAUUUUGAAGAUAGUAAAAAUUUGUGAUUAAGCGUAUUAUAUAGUUUUUGAAAAAAACUUCUCUUAUCCGUUUUAAAACUGUUUGUUUGUAUUUCUCUUUAUAUAUGUAUGUUAUACGGAUUAAAAAGCUGCAAAUCUCUUAUCCUUUUCGGUAGCACCUACUAUACAUAGUGGUUCCUAUGGCACCUAAAGGGGCAAAUUAAUUGCCUCUUUAAGUGGUAAUUUUAAUAUAUAUAUUAAUAUUUUUAAUAAAAUAUCUUAUCUUGCAAAA